rnacentral:ncRNA from 1 species
GAUCGGGUCGAGAAGACGAAAUACAAUACUCGAAAGAGAAAUAAGUCUCGCCGUCGUAAAGCGGUAGUUGAAGCCCGAUCACCCACUA